GGGUCGUUAGCUCAGUCGGUAGAGCAGUUGACUUUUAAUCAGUUGGUCGCUGGUUCGAAUCCAGCACGACCCACCA
rnacentral:tRNA from 1 species